GGAAGAAACAAACAAAAAGUAAACUCAAAAAGCGGCAACAGGAACCCAAGAAAACACAGUAUUGGCCAAAAGAAGAAGGUCCAACAUCUGAAAAGCUGGAAUGGGGAAGAAGUGAUUGUUGGGCCUCUAGGAGGCUGCACCAACUGAGGAGGAGAAAACA